rnacentral:lncRNA from 1 species
GAUCAACUGCCCAGCAGACGAUUAUACCACCCCCAGCCCCCGCUGCAGCUCCCGUUCCAGCGCAGCCAGGGGAAAUUUGGACACAGACACAGGAAGGAUGCCAUGUGAAGAGACACAGGGAGCAGAUGGCCAUCUGCAAGCUGAGGAACACCUGAGGUGACCAGAAGCUCGGGGAGAGGCCUGGAAUGGAUCCUUUCGUAGAGCCUUCGGAGGGCGCAUGGCACAAGUAACCCUUUGAUUUCAGACUUCUGACCCCCAGGACCUUGAGACAACAAAUGUCUGUCAUUCUAAGCCACCUAUUUGUGGCACUUUGUUGUGGCAGCCCUAAGAAACGAACACAUCUCCGUUAGACAUUGUCCAAGAAAGCAGCCUAGAUGCUCCCACUGAAUCCUCCCCUCCAUCGCCGCCUCUACCCUCUGCCUGCAGCUGUAUCCUGUAAACCACCGAACUCCGUCCAUUCCCCCUGCAGGACACCUUUGCCAGGAACCCACUUGUCUUCAUUCCUGCUGCUGCCACCUAGGAGCAGGCCACCAUUAUUUCACCAGAAUCCUUCCUCGCUGCUGUCCUAUCUCCAAUAACAUCUGCUGCCUAUCUGUUCCUCGAAUUGCAUCCAGAAUCAUCUUUCAACAUACAAAUCUGAGAUGCUUCUUCCCUGCUUAAACCCUCUGACACUCCUCCUUCCUCUGAGGAUGAAGUUUAGCCCUCCUGACGGGCUCAAAAGGCACAGGACCUCAAUGACUUUGCCUACACGUGAAAGAGUGAAAAGCAAGUCUGCGAUCCCUUUUUGCGGUCAGGGAAGGGAUGACACACCCAGAGAUGCUGCUCUGCGGCUCAGGAUGUUCCUUGGAGAUCCGAGUUCCAUUCGCUCCUGAGGUUAAGACUUGUUACUGCUUCGGGGCCACCAGCUAAACACUUGACAUUUCUGCUGAGGCUGAACAUCUGGAUAAUAACAGCUGGGAUCACACUGCAUCUCCCUCUCCCAAAUAAACCCUGACAAUUCUCAGGAGAACACAGGCGAGUGAGUGAGUGGUUGUCUAAUGCCCUUCGAAUGUCCUCCGCUUUCUCCGCUUACCCUUUAUCAUUCUGAAAUCUCUCCAGCUCUAAUUUAAUUUCAUGCCCUCUCAUUAGUCUUUUCAGACAUAAAGAAUAAUUUGUCUAUAUCUCCUGCAUAAAAUCAUUGCCUAUACUCGAAGGCAAGAAUUAAAC